rnacentral:tRNA from 1 species
GGAAGCGUAUCGAAGUGGUCAUAACGGCCCGCACUCGAAAUGCGGUUACCGAGCAAUCGGUACAAGGGUUCGAAUCCCUUCGCUUCCGCCA